ACACACACACACACACACACACACACACGCACACGCACACACACCGCAGGGUACAAAAGUCAGUUAUUGUGUUUCCUCCAAGCCUCGAGUCCGGAGCUGUGUCUUUCCCUUGCGCUUGGCUGAGGGUCGCGAGGUAAAUGUAACGAGGAUGAAUGCAGGGAGGAGCAGAAGGAGAGGGAGGCAGAGGGAGUGACUGGGAGGGGCAUUUUAGUGCAUGUUUAGGAUUUUGUAAGGUGGGGUUCCUUACGUAUGGUGUCCCUUUUUACUUGAGCGCUCGUAUUUUUUUGUAGUAAUUCCGUAGGGUGCAAAGGGACAGGGAGGCAAUUGGAGCUACUUGGAGGAAGAUUUUGGUGUUCGUUGAGGGUUUUGAAGGUGAUGUUCCUACGUAUGGUGUCCUUUUUUUACUUAGACAGUCGUAUUUUUUUAGAGUAAUAUCGUAGGGAGCAAAGGGACAGGGAGGCAAUGGGAGUGACUUGGAGGGAAUUUUGGUGCAUGUUGUGUACUCUGAAGGUGUGGUAUUCCUAUAUAUGGUGUCUUUUUUACUUUGGCGCUCGUAUUUUUUUAUAGUCAUAGCGUAGGGAGAAAAGGGACAGGAGCGCAAUGGAAGGUUCUUGGACGGACAUUCUGGUGUAUUUUUAGAGUUCUGGAGGUGGCGUUCGUACGUAUGAUGUCAUUUACGUGGGUUUUUGUGAUUUUUCUAUUAUUCCUUAUUGCUGUAACUCUUCCAUCUCACCUCAGUAGACGUUGCAAAAUCACCUUAAACAAAAAAGCAACCAAAAAUCUCCACUACUAAAAUCUUGAAAGGAAAUCCACGCCAGAAAUUAAGGGACAUCAAACAUUAACAAUCAGCUUAAUUCCUUCAUUUAGCUCCGGGGGCCCCUAACAUCGAGGGAGGCGCUUGUCGGUUCUUUGUCUCUGGGCCCCGCUGAGCCUCUGGUCGGUGUGAACAACUAACGAGACUCCUUUGAAAGCGGGAGGCGCCAGGCGGGUAAACAGCAGCCAUUCGGGAAGACGUGUUAGCCAUAGGAAGUGAAAUAUGGCUUAAUUCCCUUUAGAGCUUUAUUGAAACUACUUAUAUAACGCUCGCAAAGACGGCGGAAGGCUUAGAUAAAAGAAAUUCCUGCGAUAUUUAUGAGGGAGAUGGAAAGGUUGCGUCUUUAGGAGUUUAUACAGCCAGGGAAGAAGACGGGAAGGUAAAGUGCGAGUCAGGACUGGAAGUAUAUGUGUCCAGAAGUGAAUUAGUGGAGGAAACUUAAGUGUUCGUGACCGCGUUGCUGAGGAAGAAAUAAAAGUGAGUGUGAAACUUUUGGUGUGGCUUUCGUGAGGACACUGAACGCGGCCUUGAAACUAAGAGUGAACAGAGGCAGCAUCAGCCACGUAGGUGAAGGAAGAGUACGUGAGUGACCUUGAAACGAAGUGGGAAAGAAGACCAAAUUAAUGAAAAGAAAAUCUGGCAAAAGAAAUUGAAAAAAAAAACUAAAUCGUCGAAAACGGAGUCAGACAAAAGAAAAUGAAAAGAAAAUCGACUCCUAGGAAAUAGAAUCAAGCAAAAGAAAAUGAAAAUGAAACUCGAAUCUGGAAAAUGAAUGCGAAUUGUUGCCUUGCCGUUUUGUUUUGUUAUUUUUAAAUGAAAUUGGAAAACUGAAACACGUUGAUGAAAAAAUAUCAGAAAAGAAGGAAAAUAUGAAAAAUGAAACUGAGGACAUUGAAAACAAACUAAGACCAUGGAACCGAAACUGGGGAUAAUUUUGCUGGCACACUUAUAUACAAAAGAAAAAAAGAAGAGGAAAGUAAUGAAACGAAGGAAAAAAUCUGGAAAAAAGGGAAGCACAGGACACUGAAAACACAGACUUGAAAAAAAAAAAAAUGAAAAUAUACGACUAAAGAUCUUGCUGGCUCACUCGCUUACCAAAAGGGAGACAAAGGAAACCUGAUCGGAAAACUUGAAAUCGCCAAGGAAAUAAAACCUCCAGAAAUGA